UUUGGAGCAAAAAAUUAAAAUACGGUUGACAUACAUAUGGUUUCUUUAGUAUACUACAAUAUGUACUAUAUGCAGGGCUGCAAACCGGUUUUGAACCGAACCGGAAUGGACCCGGCUAUUUUUACAAGCGUUGAACCGUAUCAAGAACCGAACCGAUUUUAUUUAAAAAUGGGAGAACCGAACCGAAAAUCUAUCAAAAAAAUGGCUCGCUUUGGUUCAAAAUGAAAAUAAGCCCAAAUAAACACUAAUGAACGACUUGCUUAAAAUGCAACCCUGCUACAAAUUAUUUGAUGGAACGCCAUAAGUAAAGCUACAUUUGACACGUUGGAGGCACGCACCAGAGUGCCCUCCACACCUCACCGUUUCGGUAAAGUGUAGCUUCAUAGUCUGUCCUGUACCAACAGCUUUAAAGCUUACUCCGAUUCAAUAUAUGUGUCUUCUAUUGUCUUUUCCUACUGCAAUCUACUUUCCAUAAAAGCGGACAGUGUUAGUCGAUUAGGUUCAUAAUAGGAAUAAAUGCACAAUACAUUGAAAAUGGAGAUUUGCUAAUACACUCUCUGCCAAUAAAAGAAAUAUUUGGGAAUUUCUUUCUUUCCUUAAAAGCGGACAGUGUUAGUCGAUUAGGUUCAUAAUAGAAAUAAAUGCACAAUACAGUGAAAAUGAAGAUUUGCUAAUACACACUCUGUCAAUAAAAGAAAUAUUUGUGAAAGCAGAAUAUAAUAAUUGAAGUUUUAAAAUCAUAUAAAAUAAAUAUGGACAGAAUGUCGGAAACUUUCUUAAUAAAAAUGCUCAAAACUUCCAUCAAAGUCAACGGCUGUAUACUGAAGAAGAAGGAAAUGAAGUCACGUAUUCACAAGAUUUAGAUUUUGACAUUGAUGAUGGUAGCAGUGGAGAAAUUUCCGGCGCAACCAUUCCAAAUUCCACGUUUUUUAUAUCAUAACUCCGUAAGUGUCAUUAGGUGUGCUGCACAUACCCCAAAUUUAGCAGUGUCAGAUUUCCUAAAGGAAAUUUAUGAAAUCCGCAGCAAAUUGAAAUCCGUAGUAAAAAAGCUUAGACAUACAUACCUUGUUGAAUCUGUUACGACUAGAAAACUUAAAUAAGCCAGCUAUGGAAUGCGUGACUAGAUGGCGGUGAACAUACAACAUCAAAAAAACGUUGGGUGGUUAAGCCGCAAGUUUCUGACUGCAUUAACAGAAUGAGGGGAAUAUUAACUAACUAAUUCUAGUGCUUUAGCUGUCGUUUAUUUAGACCCCAGGCAUCAGAUUUUAUUAUAAGACUCAGAAAAAAGAUUUUGCAAAAAAACAUUUGAUUAAAGUUUUCGAUCUCAAAUCUAAAAUACAAUAUUUAGGAACUGGAAUCCAUACUUGAACAAUUAAAUAAAAAGGAAACUUUACCAACUAGAAAAACGAUUGUGAACAUAAUUAAUUGUUUUGACAAUAUUUAACAUCUUUUACUACUUGCAGAUAUUUUGCAAUUUCGGCAAAACUAUACAGUGAAAAAGUUAAAAAGUUUAGCCGAGAUCGCGUUAGGUGCUCCUGCAAAUCAAAUGUCGGUCGAAAGAGCAUUUUCAACUAUACAAUUUAUUUUAUCAGACUUAAGAGCAAGUAUAGACAAAGACUUAUUAGAAGACAUUCUUUUAAUAAACUUAUAUGCUGAGUAAUCAAGAAAUCGUUAUUGCUGCGAUUUAUAAAAUAUCUUAUUAAAAAUGUUAAUCGAAGUAACAUGCUUGUAGCCUUUUGCUAUAUUAACCUCAGAUAUGUCACUUCUUUAAGUAUAAAUUCGCUCCAAUAAAAGUAUGUGUAAUUAUAUAAUA